GACGAACGCUGGCGGCGUGCUUAACACAUGCGAGUCGAACGGAAAGGCCCUGCUUUUGUGGGGUGCUCGAGUGGCGAACGGGUGAGUAACACGUGAGUAACCUGCCCUUGACUUUGGGAUAACUUCAGGAAACUGGGGCUAAUACCGGAUAGGAGCUCCUGCUGCAUGGUGGGGGUUGGAAAGUUUCGGCGGUUGGGGAUGGACUCGCGGCUUAUCAGCUUGUUGGUGGGGUAGUGGCUUACCAAGGCUUUGACGGGUAGCCGGCCUGAGAGGGUGACCGGCCACAUUGGGACUGAGAUACGGUCCAGACUCCUACGGGAGGCAGCAGUGGGGAAUAUUGCACAAUGGGCGGAAGCCUGAUGCAGCAACGCCGCGUGCGGGAUGACGGCCUUCGGGUUGUAAACCGCUUUCGCCUGUGACGAAGCGUGAGUGACGGUAAUGGGUAAAGAAGCACCGGCUAACUACGUG
rnacentral:rRNA from 1 species